rnacentral:rRNA from 1 species
UACAGAGGGUGCAAGCGUUGUUCGGAAUUAUUGGGCGUAAAGCGCGUGUAGGCGGCUUGGCAAGUCGGGUGUGAAAUCCCUCAGCUUAACUGAGGAAGUGCUCCCGAAACUGCUGAGCUUGAAUACCGGAGAGGAUGGCGGAAUUCCCCAAGUAGAGGUGAAAUUCGUAGAUAUGGGGAGGAACACCGGUGGCGAAGGCGGCCAUCUGGACGGCUAUUGACGCUGAGGCGCGAAAGCUAGGGGAGCAAACGGG